CAGAGGGUGCAAGCGUUAAUCGGAAUUACUGGGCGUAAAGCGUGCGUAGUCGGUUAUUUAAGUCGGAUGUGAAAUCCCCGGGCUCAACCUGGGAAUUGCAUUCGAUACUGGAUAGCUAGAGUUCGGCAGAGGGAAGCGGAAUUUCGGGUGUAGCGGUGAAAUGCGUAGAUAUCCGAAGGAACAUCAGUGGCGAAAGCGGCUUCCUGGACCAGAACUGACGAUCAGGCACGAAAGCGUGGGGAGCAAACAGGAUUAGAUACCCUGGUAGUCCACGCCAUAAACGAUGACAACUAGACGUUGGGGACAUAUGGUCCACAGUGUCGCAGCUAACGCGUUAAGUUGUCCGCCUGGGGAGUACGGCCGCAAGGUUG
rnacentral:rRNA from 1 species